rnacentral:lncRNA from 1 species
UUCCCCUGACGACGGACGCUGCUCCACCCUUCAUAACAGAUUCCACGUGGCAAGUCGAGGUGAUACCCGCGUGUCCGCUCCACUAUCUUUCGCAAUCAAUUCCCCUGACCAUGGGCGGCCCACUACCAGGCAGUUACGCACGUCGCCAUCAGUCCGUUGCCUCCCCAGCCUAUAAAAGGGGGGACUCAGAUACGUUAUUUUUUAAGCUCAUUUCUCUUAUCUAAAAACUCUGCUAAAUUCUCCGUUCGAGCACUCCAUUCUUGUUGAGGCAGAGAACUGACUUGAGCGUCGGAGGGUCUUGCCGGAGCAACCCCACCUCCGGUUUAGACUUCCCUUGCAGGUCCCGGCG